CAGCUCUCCGAGUUGUGGGGACGUUUAUUGGGCCUGAAGCAUCCGUAGCCGGCUGGAUAAGUCCUCUGUUAAAUCCAGCGAUUCAAUCGUUGGUCUGCGGGGGAUACUGUCCGGCUUGGGGGCGGGAGAGGCCGACGGUAUUCUCGGGGUAGGGGUGAAAUCCUAUAAUCCCGGGAGGACCACCAGUGGCGAAGGCUGUCGGCUAGAACGCGCUCGACGGUGAGGGAUGAAAGCUGGGGGAGCGAACCGGAUUAGAUACCCGGGUAGUCCCAGCUGUAAACGAUGCAGGCUAGGUGUUAGGGCGGCCACGUGCCGCUCUAGUGCCGCAGGGAAGCUGUUAAGCCUGCCGCCUGGGGAGUACGGUCGCAAGGCUG
rnacentral:rRNA from 1 species